rnacentral:rRNA from 1 species
CUGUGAUGUAAUGUGGCCAAUCUGAGCAGCAAAAAACCUACACGCUCAGCAUUCUUUCAUCCCUAGCACAACCUGAGAAAUUGCAAAGCAUAAUCUUGUGAGGAUAGAAAUAUUCAGAGAGGGCUGAAAAGAGGGAGUGUGCACCUAGUACGGCUAUAGUUGGUUCCCAGACAUGGAUGUGAGCAGGCAUUCGUGGUCUAUGUGUAUGGCAGAGGGGUUAUAAGCACAACCUUUUCCGCAUUUGCAGGGUAAUGAAGCAGGAGAUAAUGACGACCGUAAAUUUAGUGUUGUGAGGCCGUUUCAUAUGCAUUUGUGGCAUGGAGGUGGAAGAGUUUGCGACAUAAAAGCGGGUAAGACGAAGGAAUAUGAUGGAAUUAAUGCUCAUCUGUGGAGCGGCGGUGACUGGCAGGGGGCCGUUGGGCAUGGCGGUGUAAGUCACCGGCGAUGGCUGGCCAUGAGGACCAUCGAUUGGGGCGUGGCGGCUGAAUCCAUGGUGGCGGCGGCUUGAUCCCGCAUCUCUGGAGAGGUUGCUUAUCGAGGACCGCCGGCGGUGAGGGCGGCAGGGUCAGCAGGGGCGGCUGGCCAGAGGCAAGCAUGGUUGGUGGCGGCUGGCCGGGGAAGGGUAGGUCGUGCACAUCUGCCGGAAGGGAUUGUUGCGGCGGCGGCUGGAUGGAAGGGAUUUUCUUUAGCUAUUCUUGAGGGAAGGGUGUGGGUCGUCC